AACAAGAGUUACUUCCCGUAGAUUUUGUAACUAACUUGAGAUUUUUUUUCUACUUUUGAUUGUUUUGUAAUGGAAAAUGAUAAAUAUACGAAGGAUGGCGUCGACUUCUAGUAUACAGACAGCUUUGAAAACAGUAAAUGCAAAUAUCCAGAAUCAAAUAUCAAAGAAAACAGAGGUAACAAAAAAUAAAUAAAACUGCGACAAAUUCAAUGAUAUGGCAUAAUACAUGUCAUAUGCAGUUUAUUUAAUGACACGC
rnacentral:lncRNA from 1 species